AUAGAAAUGGGGGGGGGAUUAACAAUUCAGGGGGGCUAAUAAUUAUGACUUCAACUGUAUAUUCUCUUCCCUAAACAUGUCAUUUCUUGUAUUAGUUGAUUUGUUUUGAUUCUUUUACAAGCUUUAAGAAAACAUUUUGUACAAUUAAGGAUGUAAUUUUCCCUAUAAUGACCCUUGCUGCUGAAAUAUGCAACAGAAACAGAUAAAAAUCAAAUAAAGCAAAAUGGAAUAAAAUAAAAAAUAAACGUUACAGUGUUGUAGACGUUUACAUUAGACAAAAUCAAUUGUAACACUAAUUUAAAUAAAACCUAAAUUAAUAAUCUGACAUAUUUAUAUUGGUCUUCUACAUAAAUAUGAAACCAAACAAUAUUGGUGCUCACAUUUACCGUGAUGAUUACCACAGUGACAUUUUUUUUUUGUUUAUCAAUGAUAUUUUUUGUUCUAAUACGCCAUAAACAGCUGUUUCAACACUAGGUUUUAUUUCUAAAUUAAAGACAUCAUUCGGUGUUUUAAAUAUUUGUGUCCAAUAGUCACUCAAGUUUUGACAAGCCCAGGCCAGAACAUAUGGAGAAAGUCUGCCUGUCACUUUUACAUCGAUCACACAAUUCAUCAAUAUCAGGAUAUAUUUGUGAGAGUCUUAGUGUAGUAGGUACGAAGUCCAUGUUUAUCUCGAAUAUUUAUGUAGUAUUUCCGUUUCGAAACUACAAGAAGCUUCAGACGUUUCAUUCGCGUUAUUGUUAACGUUAGCAGAAUUAGCCUUUGCCUAAUUCUAGCGGUUACGCUGUACUGAAACCCCUGGAAAAAAGUGCCUGCCUUCCCCAAAGACACACUUCUGUUGUUCUCGUGUUGUACUUUCUUUUCUCUGAUUUUUGUCACAGACACAAAACAGUCUAGUAAGUAUUUAUAUAAUAAUCUUUUCUUGAAAAGAAUAAGAGCUUCAAGCUUUCAAAAUAUACCACCAGCAGCGUGCGCUAUUAUAGUUGUCAGAGCACAUCCAUUCACCUGUUGCUAGGGCGCCAUCUUGGACGCAGCUUUCUUCAGCGCUCGUCAUGACUUCAUUGUCAGGCAGUGACGUCUCGUUCUAAACAUUCCAUCAUCAUUCUUAUAAAGCUCUCGUGCUUUCUCUCAGUGUUGUCAGUUGUCAAGGUGUUGCUGUUUGUACUUGACCUAGGUGAGUUCAAUACCGACGGUACGAGUGGAGCCACGCCAAUCUCACUAAGUCCGCUUCGUGAAGCUUCACUCGGGCCGUCUGUGCUGUAGUUCCUCGCGGUUUGCGUACAUAAACGCAACAUCGCGAGGAAUAUUAAGUGUUUGUUGCUCGAAAUGAGCCGCCGAGCAACAUUCCGGGCAUCCGGCACGGACUGGUGCCCGGUCAGCUCGUGCACUCCCUUGGGUGAGGCAGCUCGAGCUCGAGCUCGUGUACCCAAGGUAGGGCGCAAAACGGGCUGUGAGGACCCUCAAGGAAACAAGGGAGGCCGGUAGUGGGACCUGCUGCUAGGAAAGCCAGGGCUGUUGAGCAAAAAAGCCCUCAGAACAACACGCUCAAGACAACUGCGAUAUGUGCAUGCAUGUAUUGAUAAUGGUUUCUCCAUUCUUCUUUUUCCGGUUUGUUGUUUUCAGAUGAUUUUGCAAAUCAAACAGAAUAAAGUUCUCUUUCACAAUA